AUAGAGACUCAGAGCUGCAUAUCAAUAAGCGGAGGAAAAGAAACUAACAAGGAUUCCCUUAGUAACGGCGAGUGAAGCGGGAAGAGCUCAAAUUUGAAAUCUUCAAGGUUUUACCUUGACGAAUUGUAGUUUAAAGAGGUGUUUUCUGUUGAAGUUUUGGUAAAAGUUCUUUGGAAUAGGACAUCAUAGAGGGUGAGAAUCCCGUAUUUGACCAUUACUUUCCAGCUGUGUGAUACACUUUCAAAGAGUCGGAUUGUUUGGGAAUGCAGUCCAAAAUGGGUGGUAAAUUUCAUCUAAAGCUAAAUAUUGGCGAGAGACCGAUAGCGAACAAGUACCGUGAGGGAAAGAUGAAAAGAACUUUGAAAAGAGAGUUAAACAGUACGUGAAAUUGUCAAAAGGGAAGCGUUUGACACCAGUGUUGUUUUUCCGAAAAUCAAUUACGAAUGUUUUAGUUUUUGAGGAGUUAUGACUUCAUCGGCUUGCUCCUUUCUUUAUGAAACUUUCUUAAUGCACUUUUCGGUUAACAAGUCAACAUCAAUUUCUUUUGUUGUAAAAGGAGUAUGAGGAAGGUGGCUUUCUUUUCGGAGAAAGUGUUUAUAGCCCUGUGACUUCUGCAAUCGGAGAGAUUGAGGUCUGCAGCGUAGAUCCUUCGGGGUUAGAUACAUUUGUGCUAAGUUAUAGCUUUUUCAUAGACAACAUUGUUGACUAUGAUUUAAUCAUUGUAGCUUACUCGCUUAUGCUAUUUUACCUACGCUUAGGAUGUUGAUAGUCACAGCGUGUAC
rnacentral:rRNA from 1 species